rnacentral:rRNA from 1 species
UGCCAGCCGCCGCGGUAAUACGGAGGGAGCUAGCGUUGUUCGGAAUUACUGGGCGUAAAGCGCACGUAGGCGGACUUUUAAGUCAGAUGUGGAAUCCCGGGGCUCAACCUCGGAACUGCAUUUGAAACUGGAAGUCUGGAGUUCAGGAGAGGUUAGCGGAAUACCGAGUGUAGGGGUGAAAUCCGUAGAUAUUCGGAGGAACACCAGUGGCGAAGGCGGCUUUCUGGACCAAUACUGACGCUGAGAUGCGAAAGCGUGGGGAGCGAACAGGAUUAGAUA